rnacentral:rRNA from 1 species
UACGUAGGUGGCAAGCGUUGUCCGGAUUUAUUGGGUUUAAAGGGUGCGUAGGCGGUGUCCUAAGUCAGUUGUGAAAUACGGCAGCUUAACUGUCGAGGUGCAAUUGAUACUGGGACACUUGAGUACUGAUGAGGUAUGCGGAAUGGACGGUGUAGCGGUGAAAUGCUUAGAUAUCGUCCAGAACACCGAUAGCGAAGGCAGCAUACUAAGGAGUAACUGACGCUGAGGCACGAAAAGUGUGGGGAUCAAACAGG